rnacentral:rRNA from 1 species
GACGAACGCUGGCGGCGUGCUUAACACAUGCAAGUCGAACGGAAAGGCCCUGCUUUUGUGGGGUGCUCGAGUGGCGAACGGGUGAGUAACACGUGAGUAACCUGCCCUUGACUUUAGGAUAACUUCAGGAAACUGGGGCUAAUACCGGAUAGGAGCUCCUGCUGCAUGGUGGGGGUUGGAAAGUUUCGGCGGUUGGGGAUGGACUCGCGGCUUAUCAGCUUGUUGGUGGGGUAGUGGCUUACCAAGGCUUUGACGGGUAGCCGGCCUGAGAGGGUGACCGGCCACAUUGGGACUGAGAUACGGCCCAGACUCCUACGGGAGGCAGCAGUGGGGAAAAUCGCACAAUGGGCGGAAGCCUGAUGCAGCAACGCCGCGUGCGGGAUGACGGCCUUCGGGUUGUAAACCGCUUUCGCCUGUGACGAAGCGUGAGUGACGGUAAUGGGUAAAGAAGCACCGGCUAACUACGUG